GCCUAACACAUGCAAGUCGAGCGAUCUCUUCGGAGAGAGCGGCGGACGGGUGAGUAACGCGUGGGUAACCUGCCCUGUACACACGGAUAACAUACCGAAAGGUAUACUAAUACGGGAUAACAUACGAAAGUCGCAUGGCUUUUGUAUCAAAGCUCCGGCGGUACAGGAUGGACCCGCGUCUGAUUAGCUAGUUGGUAAGGUAAUGGCUUACCAAGGCAACGAUCAGUAGCCGACCUGAGAGGGUGAUCGGCCACACUGGAACUGAGACACGGUCCAGACUCCUACGGGAGGCAGCAGUGGGGAAUAUUGCACAAUGGGCGAAAGCCUGAUGCAGCAACGCCGCGUGAGCCGAUGAAGGCCUUYGGGUCGUAAAGCUCUGUCCUCAAGGGAAGAUAAUGACGGUACUUGAGGAGGAAGCCCCGGCUAACUACGUGCCAGCAGCCGCGGUAAUACGUAGGGGGCUAGCGUUAUCCGGAAUUACUGGGCGUAAAGGGUGCGUAGGUGGUUUUUUAAGUCAGAAGUGAAAGGCUACGGCUCAACCGUAGUAAGCUUUUGAAACUAGAGAACUUGAGUGCAGGAGAGGAGAGUAGAAUUCCUAGUGUAGCGGUGAAAUGCGUAGAUAUUAGGAGGAAUACCAGUAGCGAAGGCGGCUUCUCUGGACUGUAACUGACACUGAGGCACGAAAGCGUGGGGAGCAAACAGGAUUAGAUACCCCUGGUAGUCCACGCCGUAAACGAUGAGUACUAGGUGUCGGGGGUUACCCCCCUCGGUGCCGCAGCUAACGCAUUAAGUACUCCGCCUGGGAAGUACGCUCGCAAGAGUGAAACUCAAAGGAAUUGACGGGGACCCGCACAAGUAGCGGAGCAUGUGGUUUAAUUCGAAGCAACGCGAAGAACCUUACCUAAGCUUGACAUCCCACUGACCUCUCCCUAAUCGGAGAUUUCCCUUCGGGGACAGUGGUGACAGGUGGUGCAUGGUUGUCGUCAGCUCGUGUCGUGAGAUGUUGGGUUAAGUCCCGCAACGAGCGCAACCCUUGCCUUUAGUUGCCAGCAUUAAGUUGGGCACUCUAGAGGGACUGCCGAGGAUAACUCGGAGGAAGGUGGGGAUGACGUCAAAUCAUCAUGCCCCUUAUGCUUAGGGCUACACACGUGCUACAAUGGGUGGUACAGAGGGUUGCCAAGCCGCGAGGUGGAGCUAAUCCCUUAAAGCCAUUCUCAGUUCGGAUUGUAGGCUGAAACUCGCCUACAUGAAGCUGGAGUUACUAGUAAUCGCAGAUCAGAAUGCUGCGGUGAAUGCGUUCCCGGGUCUUGUACACACAGCCCGUCACACCAUGGAAGUUGGGGGCGCCCGAAGCCGGUUAGCUAACCUUUUAGGAAGCG
rnacentral:rRNA from 1 species